AUGCUGAAUAAAGAAGCUCCGGAUUCUUUUCCGGCAAGGCGAUUUGUCUCUAUGGUCGGUGAUGGAUUUAGGAACCAGUCCGUUCAACCGGGGAUGUCGUGGCGGUGGCGGCAUCUUGUGAUGGACUUGUGUCCUCGGGCAUCGCCGUUGCGACGGCGUCUGCUGCAGCGUCGACGCGGAGCGUGUGAGGUAGUUUUGGAGCGGAUGCAUAUUGUGGUCUACAUUGUUAACAGCUGUAAGAAAAAACGUGUGCGGAGUUCGUUGUUGAUGGAUGGCAGGUAUGGUUUCCUUCUUCGACGUCUUAGUCGUGAUGGGAUGCCAGAUCUGGAGUUCGCUGGUGUGUCCGGGGUGUGGCCUCGGUUGAUUCUUUAA
rnacentral:rRNA from 1 species